GAGCCGCCCGCCCGCCGCCUCAGAGCUCCCGCUCCGCCGGCAGGAGCCGCCGCCAGCCCGGGGUCCCGCUGAGGGUGCCGCUGCCGCCCGGGCCCGGUGGAUGCCACCCGCCGCUGUUCCGGCUCCCUGCUCCGGCUGCCUCUUUCUGCUCCUCUGUGCUUUUUCCGCUGCAAAUCGUCCGGGCGCUUCACCGCCGCGCGGUACUGGCGGGGACCCCCGGACGCCUUCCCGCAGCCAGCUCCAUCCCGAGCACCGGGAAGCGCCCGGGAGGUCCCGGCCGGAGGAGGAUGCGGCACCUCGGGGUGAGCUUUCGGAUGGGGGAAAAAGGGAGGGUGACCCCCAAAAUCUCACCCGUCUGUUUAAGUUGUCCCUUUCCGAGCUAGCCCUGCUCUUCCAGCAUUUCUUUGGAGCAUUUGAUUUUAAUUAUCCGCGGAAUUCAGCCUUCUAAUUGUGACUGGUUGGGGGGAGAAAUAAAAGCAACUCCCCAAAUUCAAGUUUCAUCUGCUGCUUCCCCCAGGAAAAAUAGAGGGUCACGAUAGAUUGACAGGGGAAUAAAUAAGAAAUUGGGCUUCAGGCAUUCCAACGUUUAAAAAGUACCAGGAACAUGGUGGUUUUUGUUUAAUUACUGUGAUGUGUAAUAAAUAAACUGUUUGCUUUGAAUUUAAAUGUGUUUAAAUGUGCCCGAACAUCCAUCUGUCUUCUAUGUGAAAAUUAAUUUGUUCUCUUAAACGGCAAAGCAGGAUUUUAUUUUAUUUUUUUAAAAAACCCUUCAAACUGUAAUUUUUCCAGUUUUCAGCUUUCCGUUUGCAGAGUUACCACCUGACAUAUUUGAAAUACAACUUUCAAAGCGUCUUUAAAAGAAAAAUUAUUUUAAGUCUCAAGGCAAACUACAUAAGUUGGACUUGCUAAUUGAAUAAUUGAAAUUUUCUUCUAAAAUUUAAUGAGAUUGGGGAUGGGUUUAUGUUUCCCUGGGCUGUGGAUUGGUGACUUUGCAAUGCUGUUGGACACUUGGGGAAAUCUUUUUUUCCCUCUCCUGUGACCCAUAAUUAAUGCAUAUUCCUGUAAUUCCUAUCUCAUUAGGCAAUUUACCUUGACUCACAGAAUUCCAGUGUUUCAUCUGUUUUAUCCAGGGCUGAGUCCAAGCAAUAAUCACUAUUUUUAGUCCAUUUUUUCCCAAUCCAGCCCCUCCUGCGGAGCACUUUCCUCGGAAGAUCCCAACCUCAGUGCGUGACUGAGGCUGGGAAGGGAUUUGUGGGAUGCUCGGAGUUUUGGAGGUAGGAAUGGGAACAAGAACCCCUUUUUUCUGCUCCCUGUCUUCAGCUCCAAAGAUUCCUGCAAAAGAAGCCCCCAAGGACAGGAGGAAUUACAGACUUUGGUUUUCUUCCCUGCUCGCUGCUGCCUUCCAGGGCUCCCCAGCCCUGCCUGAGGCAGGGAGUUGCACUUCCCAGCCCACAGGCUUGAAUUCCUCUUUGUGCAGCACAGGUAGAAGGAGGAAGGUGACUUUGGGUGGUUGUUUCCUCUUAUUCCAGAGAUGGGCUCGGGGAUGAGGCCGUGCCUGGGAGCGGGGCAGGAACGUGUCCUGCUGCACGUCCCUGAUCCUGCACCAACCAUUUUGCGUUCCCGUGUCACUCCUGGGGGAUGGAGCACAAUUCCCUGGCCUCACACAGCCUGAACAGGGGGAAAGGAGGGAGCUGGAGCACCUGGAGGUGCUCAGGAGCUCUGGUUUCCUGAGAAGUUCACUCAGCCAUGAAAUGGAAUGAGAUAAUGCUCAGGGAACAAGUGGGUUCAAGUGGGGCCGUUUGUCCCGCAGGGUCUCGUGGCCGGAUUUUUGUAUGACAAAGGAUGGGGAUGUUUGCCCAGGGAUGGGCACGGGCUGGAGCUGCAGGGCAGGAUCCCACAGGCCUGACACUGCAGGCCCUGACAUCAGCAUUCCCAGGAAAAGGGUGCAGAUCUGGGAGGGAACAACCCAGGUUCCUGUGGCCCAGUGGAGCCUUUAAGAGUGCAUCCAGUUUAGAGAGGAUUUGGGGGAACAGAUCCAGCUCUUCCUGACAGAGUGGGCACAGCAGAGGUUGAUAUUUGGAAUAUUGCUUCAUUUUCUGAUGUGGCCU
rnacentral:lncRNA from 14 species